rnacentral:pre_miRNA from 1 species
CAAGUACUACCUCCGUCCAGAAAUAACUGUCGCUCAAACGGAUAUAUCUAGACGUAUUUCAGUGCUAGAUACAUCCAUUUGAGCGACAGUUAUUUCUGGACGGAGAGAGUAGUUU